GCUCUCCUCUCUCUCCUGAACAUAUUAGAUUUUUGUUUCUCUUGUUAUCACUCCGUUCUCUCUCCUCAUUCGCUACUUUCCUUCAUUUCUCUCCUCAGAAAAUGGUUUCUCAUAUUAUCCCUCCUUUUCUCUCUCCUCAUUCCAACUAUUUUAACAUCUUAGAAAUUAAAAAUGGCGAAAACCUUCAGAAAUCGCGAGUGCCGUAGAUUACACAGGUAUAUUCCUCUUCUCUCCGUGUGAAAUUAUUAGUCUUAUUUGGACUUGAUUUAGAAUAUUAGGGUUUUUUAAAAUUCAUGUUUUUUGGGUUUAUAAUCUGAAUUUACUUCAUGCAGAAUUGGAAUCUUAGUGUUUUUUAAAUUCAUGUUUCUGGAUUUAGACUUUUAGGGUUUUUUAAAUUCAUGUAUCUGCUUGAUUUUAGUUGUAUUUCGUUGUCUUAAUUAUUGCUUAACUCACUUGUUUGCAAUUUUGAUUUGCAUGUGUUGUCCCUCCAUGGUGGGAGAGAGCGCUGAUGGAGGCGCUGGUCGAGGCGCAAGUGGAGGCGCGGAUGGAGGUGCUGGUCGUGGUUAAUUGUUUCUGCUAUUGAGAAUCCUUCUAGAUAGUUCUAUGGCCUCUUAUAUCAUCCUGAGGAAUCGUGAGAAAAAUGGUACUUACGUGUGUGGGAGCGACUUUGUGGAACGGUGAUGGAGGUUUUGGUGAUGGAGCUUUCACGAAGAACAGAGAUGGAGGUUUUACAGAGUUUUCUGGAGUUUUUGUUUUGGCAAUUGAAAUAAUGUGUAAUAAUUUCGUUUUUUAUAUUAAUUGGGUUUUUUUGAUUCUGUGUUUGUAUUAUAUUCCCCUAAUUUUGAGUAUUCCCUUUCCU